AUACGGAGGGUGCAAGCGUUAAUCGGAUUUACUGGGCGUAAAGCGUGCGUAGGCGGUUUAUUAAGUCAGAUGUGAAAGCCCCGGGCUCAACCUGGGAACUGCAUUUGAAACUGGUGAACUAGAGUUUGGUAGAGGGUAGUGGAAUUUCCGGUGUAGCGGUGAAAUGCGUAGAUAUCGGAAGGAACACCAGUGGCGAAGGCGACUUCCUGGGCCAAUACUGACGCUGAGGUGCGAAAGCGUGGGGAGCAAACAGGAUUAGAAACCCCAGUAGUCC
rnacentral:rRNA from 1 species